GAUUGACGUGUCAGCCGCCCAAUAGCGCGAGCACGCAGGCGGGUGGGCGGGGUUACCUGCUUGAAGGUGUGCCGGGCGGGGUGCGGGGAUGAUGGGCUUUUCACUACCUACUUUGGUGCGAUCGCAGGCGGGCGGUGCUGAUUGGCUCGGGCUGAGGCUGCGGCAGAGCCCGGCGCUUCCCGCCGGCACCCGCGCAUCCCGGAUCCCGGCACCGCUUCAUCCCCGCAGCCGGAACAACGGGCGGCUUGUCCUCGGAACAAAGGCGGCCCUGAGGCAACGCGGCUGCCGAGGCCGGGGCAGCUCCCAGGAGCUGCGGCUCCGUGUUCAUGGCAGCCCUGACUGACGAAAAUACUCAUUCCUUAAUGCUCCUGGCCGGCAAAGCUCGGGCUGCUUGUAAUCAGAGUACAAUGGCAUCUGCUGAUGGUACAAAAUGUAUAAAUGGAAAGUUAGGUUUUUAUCACCGAAUUCUGACUGCAGUGAUGUUCCCGGCUUGAGUCGAUGAACAAAAAGCUCCCAGCAUCAAAAGCUUAUUUGUUGUGUAUGUGCCUUCGUGUAAGAAGGAAACAAAAACAAGACUCGAUGGUGGCGUUUUCAGGGUUUGGGUAUGAGGGAACAAUACUUCAUUGCAACUAUCAUGAAGCUUCUCUAUUAAAGGUUUAAGCAGUGCUUACACAC